UACGUAGGUGGCAAGCGUUGUCCGGAUUUACUGGGCGUAAAGAGCGCGCAGGCGGUCGUUCAAGUCGCGUGUGAAAGCCCCCGGCUCAACUGGGGAGGGUCACGCGAUACUGAUCGACUCGAAGGCAGGAGAGGGUAGUGGAAUUCCCGGUGUAGUGGUGAAAUGCGUAGAUAUCAGGAAGAACACCCGUGGCGAAGGCGGCUCUCUGGGACGGUACUGACGCUGAGACGCGAAAGCGUGGGGAGCGAACAGG
rnacentral:rRNA from 1 species